UCUCCAUUUUUUAGUCCCUCACGAGGGAUGGUGCGUGAUGGUCCUUUUCUGUCAUCUCCAUUUUUUAGUCCCUCACGAGGGAUGGUGCGCGACGAUCCUUUUCUGUCAUCCGUUGUCUUCAGUCCCUCACCCUUGACAUACUGGGAGGAUCCCAUUUUGUCACCCUGUGUCUUCAGUCCUUCACUUGAGAUUUCAUGGGAUGAUCCCAUUCUGACAUUCCCUGUCCUCAGUCCCUUACCAUCAAUACAGUGCAAAGAUCCAACUUUGUCAUCCCCUGCCUUCUGUUUCUGGAUGGACUCUGAAGAUGACAUAGAAGAGGAAUCAAUUCCUUCAACAUCUGACGGAACUAGAGAGAGUUUCAGACAAUUGUGGUUUAGACCUCACUACCACUUGUCAAGUGACUCUGAUUAGAUUGGGAUCUUGAAAAACUGAAGGCCUACCUGGGAAGUCACAUUAGGACAUUAUCAUUUCUCUGUUUUAUUUUUGUUUGUUUUUUAAAAGACAAUAGCUUUCUAGCAGGCCUGAUGAUGCCUUAGGUAAUUGCACCGGAGCUUUUUCUUAUCCUGCUGCUAGAUUGUGUAUUUUAGAUGUUAAGGAUUCUAGCAGGCUUGAGGAUGCCUUAGGUAAUUGCACCGGAGCUUUUUCUUAUCCCGCUGCUAGAUUGAUGACUUUUGAUGUUAAGGAUUCUAGCAGGACCGAGGAUGCCUUAGGUAGUGUCUUGCACCAGGGCUUUUCUUUAUCCCGCUGCUGGAUUUUUCACUUUAGAUGCUAAGGAUUCUGGCAGGACUGAGGAUGUCCUAGGUAGCGUCUUGCACCGGGGCUUUUCUUUAUCCUGCUGCUGGAUUUUGUAUUUUACAUUUUAAGGAUUCUGAUUAAAAAGGCAAUAAAGUAUUUUUUUCUGUUUAAUCAAACAAUGACCCAAUGCUGGAGAAGGAAAAUUAAAAUUUCUGAGGAAUGAGGCCAUACUGCUGAACAAAACAAACACUAAAAGGAGUUGGAUAUCACUGGUGCAUAAAAGAAAAAUGCUAAAAGGAACAAGACAACACUAAAUCUAAAACGUUCUUGCUGAGUAAAAAUUAAACCUCAAAAGGAUUGCGAUAACGCGACUCGGGGCACUGGAAUCAACACAAUUGAGACAACACUGCUGCAACUUAAGCGCUUUAAAAUUGAAACAAUGUUUCUGGCACGUUCGAAUUUUUAAGACAUGAAAAAACACUAAAAGGGACACAAUAUAAUCAGUUGAGCUGUGGUAUAAACAGUUGUAAAGCUAUAACACAAUUCCUAGAUGUCAUAAAAUCCACAGUGAGAUAGGUAUUUUUUUUUAGGUAAGAAACAACAACUGCAGGAACAGUAACAAUGAAAGUCCACAUGUUAGGCUCAGGUGAUAAUACUUUUAAAAGUAGGUAAUGCUGCAGGGUGUCGAAUCUAAAAUCUCUAAGCACUGAGAAGAGACAACAAUUUUCGGGACAAAUUCAACUCUUUAAAAAUAGAGUACAAUACUUUUGCGGACAAAUCUUUCAAGUUGUGAGAUGGCUGAGAUGCCGUCAUGGUGGACAAGCUAAAAUGUAGAGGAAUUAACCCUGCGGAGCAUAACAUAAAACCUAUAAGGAUAAAAGGAAAAGACGGUGAUAAAUAUUUGGUUCCCAAAGGCACCAAAGGCUUGUACCACCAUAAACAUAUUAUGAGGACCACCAGGAGGUGCAGUCACCAAAAGUAUCAGUCUCAGACGGAGCAGCUCCCAGUGAGACGGCUUCUUCCAAGAUUCUCUCUGUCUCUGGUAUGAGGACUUGGAGAUCUGUCUGUCAGUCACUUUUGUCUUCUGUUUCGCUCUUUGUGUUUUUCUCUCUACUCUCCCAAGUUUCAGGGUGUAACAGUGGGGCUUCCCCACACGGUGCCCUCCAAGAUAGCAAAUUGUUUUCACCUGUUCUUCCACUAAUCCACUCUCCCAGUUUUAAUCUUUCAGGUUUUAGCUGCUCACCGUUGGAUUCUUUUGUCGCCGUCCAUGUGGUUCCUGUCCUCCUGUAUGUUUUUCAUACUGCUUGCAAGUUUUUGCAUUCCUCACUCACAUCAUACUGCUUGGCUCCUGCUGGCAAUGGGGAGCCAUCAGCUUCACUAAAUAAAAAUGUGUAGAAAGAAAUUUACAAUUAGUAGAAGGUGUCCUCCGUAGAGACUUAAAAUUUAAGUAAGGAAUGUUUGCCUGACCAUUUUGUAUCAAUACCACAUUACAGCAAUGGACCAAUAAGAAAGGAGAAGACAAAGGAGAACAUAGACAGAAUUUAUGAUUAGGGAUUUAAUUAAUGGCUUUUAUUCAGAGGGACACUAGAGAACAGGAUCAAAGGGAAUGAAAUAGAGAGCAUGUGGAGUAAAGUUUUAUGAAGAUAAACUAUUAAUCUCAUGAAACAAAUAGUUUAUAUGGCCAUUAGCAUGUUUAUGGGUUGCAACAUAGAAAGAUCACAAAAACAGAAUAGACAUAAAAUAAUAGAGAAAAUAGUCUGAUCCCAGAUUGAAAUUCUGCAAAUCAAUAAUGUCUCUGAUCAUUCCAGGUUGGAUCUCCUGAACUACUAUAAUCCUCCACCUUCAGCACCACCAGUCAGGUGGAGGAAGAUAAGAGAACCCAGUUGACAAAAACAGUAAGAAAACUUAUUUUUACCCAGCUAACAAUUUUAAAUAUGGAUGAAACUGAGGUUCUUUCUUCUGUCCAUGUAUAUUCUCUUCUUUUGGCCCUGUUGUCUUUUCUCUGUGUUUCCUUUCUCCAUGAACUCAUGUCACAUGAUUUGAGUUGACCAACCCCUAGAGCAGGUUACUUCCUCCAUCUGCUGAUCUACUGGUUGUAGCAGAUUGUGGAGAGGCGAGGACGCGACGAUGACUUGAUCUGAUAUGGUGGCCGACAGGAGCAAACUCACAGCAAACAGGUAUCCAGUGCAGCUACAUUGAAUAAACUGCAUCAGUCGGUUGACAGACAGGCCAGCAUCUUACAAACUGCUGGAUGCUUUCAGCUUCCUGUGAGUGUCGGUGACAAAGAGAAUAUUGUGAAGAACUUCAUACAUUCAUUUACCGCAAUCAUUUCUCUAUUCAAAGAUUCAAGGUUGCCCUUUCAACCCUGGAUUUUGUUUAUGCUUUGGAGCCGCGUGCUUCCAGGUUCAGGCCCUUUAUGUGCACAUGUGCGGAAAAGCUGACAUCAGAAGUUUUAGAGAUGGAGACAACAUAAUCCCACACUCUGCCAGAAAUAACUAAAGUCCAGAGUGAAGAUGGCAUCACUUAUCUUGCUUGUUUGAAAGAACGUGCAGAAUAUCUGUUGCUGCCAAUCCCAGUGUGAAUGGCUGAAGACCCACAGACGUUUGUGGAAUGUUGACCGUUCCAGAUCCAGACCAAAUCCAGAGGAACGGCGCUCACCAUGCCAUAGAUUUGUUCGAACAAUAGCUGUGUGUGGCAAGCAAAUUCCCAGCCUACUUGCAAGUAUGGAACGCAAGCUGGGGACUUUCUGUGGCAUAAUUCAUAAUAGCAUAAUUCUGUCUGGCAACAACGAUGCCCGAGUUGCACUGCUGUUCAGGUUUAUGAAUAUGGGAGCAGUGGAUCAGUCAACCUUUGUCAAAAUGCAAGACAGUUACUGCGUUGACACUAUCAAAGAAUUUUGGGACAACCACAAGUCUGGUUAUUGUUCUCUACCAUAGAUGUCCAGUGCAGCGACGUUGAAUGAACUACAUCAGUCAGUUGACAGACAGGUCAGCAUCUUACAAACUGCUGGUUGCUUUCAGCUCCCACAGAGCUGAAGYAGUUUCCAGACUGCAGUYACAGGAUAAUGUUGUAGUACUUGUUAUGGGUKAAUGGACCCAGCCCUGGGUUUUGUGCUCAGUCCUGCAUCUACACCGUCAUGGAAAAGGACACUAAAUAAAUUGUAUCCAUAGUAAACAUUGACAAGCGUGAGACGCAGAGGAGUUCUGUGAUUCUGGAGAGGGAAGGCUUUAUCGCUUUAUCAGAAGCUUUGACCAGCUACACCCGGAAGUUAAACUUGCUGAAAUAUGCACAGAUGCACAUUCACAGAUAUCUGCUCUGUUUAUCAAUGGAAAAUACAAGGACAGUGAAGUGCUACACACUUUAGACAUGUGGCAUGGUUCUAACAACCUGGGCAAAAAGAUCCAUUCAGCAGGGCAGCAAAGAGGUUGUUCCAUUCUUCUGCMGUGGAACAAGGAGAUCUGCAAUCAUUUUUGAUUCUGCWGCAAGACCUGUGACGACU